UUCCUCUUUUUUUUUAACUAGUAGCAAUUUCUAAAAAAAAAAAGAUACCUUUAGUUUCUAAUUAUAACCUAAAACACACAUUGCUGCUUGAGAAAAUGGAUCACCGCUUGAAAUCCAGAAAAGGGAACAGUUGCAUCUUUAAAGGGCAGAGGAAAUGAAUGCCCCUCCAGGACUUCAACAGGCCACUGAUGGACCUAUGUAGUCUAAAUGGUUAGAGGAGGAGCCCUAAUGUUACCAACGGUCACUCUUGGACCUUGGGAUUUGGUUAAUUAGUAUGAUAUAAGGCCACUCUUGGGCAAGAUAAAUGAAUAAAUAACUAUAAACAUAA